rnacentral:tRNA from 1 species
GGCAUAGUACUUUAAAAAAAAAGGUUUGAGUUGCAGUCUAACAUUAAGCAGCGUGCUUUUAUGCUU